rnacentral:rRNA from 1 species
UACGAAGGUCCCAAGCGUUGUUCGGAAUCACUGGGCGUAAAGGGAGCGUAGGCGGCGUGGUAAGUCAGAUGUGAAAUCCCGGGGCUCAACCCCGGAACUGCAUCCGAUACUGCCAUGCUAGAGGAUUGGAGAGGUGACUGGAAUUCUCGGUGUAGCAGUGAAAUGCGUAGAUAUCGAGAGGAACACUCGUGGCGAAAGCGAGUCACUGGACAAUUCCUGACGCUGAGGCUCGAAGGCUAGGGUAGCGAAA